rnacentral:rRNA from 1 species
AUAUCAAUAAGCGGAGGAAAAGAAACCAACAGGGAUUGCCUCAGUAACGGCGAGUGAAGCGGCAACAGCUCAAAUUUGAAAUCUGGCUCCUCUAGGGGUCCGAGUUGUAAUUUGUAGAGGAUGCUUCGGGCAAGGCUGCGGUCUAAUUCGCUUGGAACAGCGGGUCGCAGAGGGUGAGAAUCCCGUCUAGGACCGCCUGCCGCGUCCAUGUGAAGCUCCUUCGACGAGUCGAGUUGUUUGGGAAUGCAGCUCUAAAUGGGUGGUAAAUUUCAUCUAAAGCUAAAUAUUGGCCAGAGACCGAUAGCGCACAAGUAGAGUGAUCGAAAGAUGAAAAGCACUUUGAAAAGAGAGUUAAACAGUAUGUGAAAUUGUUGAAAGGGAAGCGCUUGCAAUCAGACUUGAGGGGGGCGGUUCCCCCGGUCUCCUGACCGGGUCAUUUCCGCCAUCUCCAGGCCAGCAUCGGUUUGGGUGGUCGGUUAAAGGUCCCGGGAAUGUAUCUACCUUCGGGUCGACUUAUAGCCUGGGGCGCAAUGCGGCCCACCCGGACCGAGGUACGCGCUUCGGCUCGGAUGCUGGCGUAAUGGUUGUAAGCGGCCCGUCUUGAAACACGGACCAAGGAGUCUAACAUCUAUGCGAGUGUUUGGGUGUCAAACCCCUACGCGUAAUGAAAGUGAACGGUGGUAAGAACCCCGUCAGGGGCGCAUUAUCGACCGAUCCUGAUGUCUUCGGAUGGAUUUGAGUAAGAGCAUAGCUGUUGGGACCCGAAAGAUGGUGAACUAUGCCUAGAUAGGGUGAAGCCAGAGGAAACUCUGGUGGAGGCUCGCAGCGGUUCUGACGUGCAAAUCGAUCGUCAAAUCUGGGUAUAGGGGCGAAAGACCAAUCGAACCAUUAAGAAUUGUGGGGUAAAAAGGCUACCGGGUGGUUCUUUAACAGUCCUUCGGGGCUACAUCGUCCUUCUGGCGGGGAUCAACACCCGCAGCAGCCCCGGCUGUCCACAGACUAGGAGACGGUGGUCAUCUUAACCGAGAGAUGAUGAUGGUAUAGUCGGUCGUGGUCGUGCCUCUUGACCACGGUAGACGCUGGUAGCUGGUUCCUGUCGAAGUUUCCCUCAGGAUAGCAGUAACGUCUUCAGUUUUAUGAGGUAAAGCGAAUGAUUAGAGGCCUUGGGGUUGAAACAACCUUAACCUAUUCUCAAACUUUAAAUAUGUAAGAAGUCCUUGUUACUUAAUUGAACGUGGACAUUUGAAUGUAUCGUUACUAGUGGGCCAUUUUUGGUAAGCAGAACUGGCGAUGCGGGAUGAACCGAACGUGAGGUUAAGGUGCCGGAAUGUACGCUCAUCAGACACCACAAAAGGUGUCAAUGCAUCCAGACAGCCGGACGGUGGCCAUGGAAGUCGGAAUCCGCUUAGGAGUGUGUAACAACUCACCGGCCGAAUGCAUUGGCCCUGAAAAUGGAUGGCGCUUAAGCGUGCUACCUAUACCUCGCCGUUGGGGUUGAAAUGAUGCCCCAACGAGUAGGCAGGCGUGGGGGUU